CUCUCCGUAGCUCAGUUGGCAGAGCAGCUGACUCUUAAUCAGCGGGUCGAAGGUUCGAACCCUUCCGGGGAGA
rnacentral:tRNA from 1 species